rnacentral:rRNA from 1 species
UACGGGGGGGGGCAAGCGUUGUUCGGAAUUACUGGGCGUAAAGGGUUCGUAGGCGGCCAACUAAGUCGGACGUGAAAUCCCUCGGCUUAACCGGGGAACUGCGUCCGAUACUGGAUGGCUUGAGUUCGGGAGAGGGAUGCGGAAUUCCAGGUGUAGCGGUGAAAUGCGUAGAUAUCUGGAGGAACACCGGUGGCGAAGGCGGGUCUCUGGGCCGGAUGACUGACGCUGGAGGAGCGAAAGCGUGGGGAGCGAACAGG